rnacentral:tRNA from 1 species
GGAAGCAUAGCUCAGCUGGGAUGAGCGUCCGCCUCACACGCGGGAGGCCACGGGUUCGAGCCCCGUUGCUUCCA